UCAAACACCAAUUUACUUGAGAAUUAGCUGAUACUGUAUAUUCUACGAGGGUUUAAUGUGCUAUAUGCACAAGUAAAAUCUACGUGUCUCUUUAUACUUGUAGCCAGCGCAUAGAUUUACUCCUCAUCAUCUCUUUCUCUUUGACAACUCGCCGGGGUUAUGCUAAUUCGCCUCCAGGUGAUUUUUCUCUUCGUAUCUCUUUCUGUAUUUGGGUAUUCUACAAAGUUCCUCUAUUUUGGUUUGAAUUAAUUUCUUCCUGGAUUUUGGUAAAUGUGCAGGCAGGGACCAGGAUUCAACAGGUCGUGGAUGAUAGAUCAAGGAAUAAGGUUUCCCAUUCAUCAAACCACCGCCAAAACUUCUAUAGAACUAUGGUUAAUCAUAUUCAGGAUGAUGAAUCAUUGACAAAAUGUUCAGUGUUUUAUUUGAUGGUGUUGGACGCAUGCUCAAUGACAACUUCAGACUGUUGGUUCACUUAUCUUUUAGUCUUUCUAAAAAAUAUUGGAUUAUCCCCAAGAGAAGAGGCGUGCUGAGCCUGCUAGGAUUAGGGAAUGAGUAUUGCUGGAAAUUUCACAAAAUUAUCAAGUAACUUCUUUAGCUAAACAAAAGUAGUUAAAGCUGCUGGAACAUUAAGGAAGAAGACAACCAAAUAUUUUAAAAAGAAGAACAGAUUCUGAAACAGUGCAGUCUUUUGUCUAAUAAAAGGUUGGUUAAUUAAACACCAUUUGCCUUAAAUGGAUAAGGUUAGAAGUUGAUCUGGAAUUCAACUGUUUAUCAACUUGUCGGGACAUUCAAAAUGGUUCACUAAAUGGAUAAGUCUAAAUUAAACAUCAUGUAUCUGCCUUAAUCAAAUUCUUCUAUGAAACUAAUUUUGUUGUUGCCUUCCAAGAUGCGAUGCUGAUGUUUUUGGGAAGGACAUAGACCUACUCCUGCUGCUGCUUUUAGCUGUUGGGAUAAUAGGUUAGUUCUUCUAUUCAUUAGUUUUCUGUGAACUACAUAUUGAACACAGUUCUUUUAGCCUCUAAGCUGUCAUCUGUGGAGAUACUGCCCAAUUUUCUUCACUUUUUUCCUCUCCUUUGAAAUCUGCCAGGUACAUUUCUCUUCAUUUUUGUCUUUAACUUUAACUUCAAUCUUCUUUAUCUCUGUAGUGGAUCCUUUUACCUGUUUUUCCGCAUAUGAUACUAUAUUACACCUACUCAAAUUUCUCUAUCUUGUAUAGAAACGCUAAUUUCCUACCUUAUGUAACAGGGCCCAAUGUUCUUAUCGAAUGAGGCUACACUCGGCUGACCUUCGAGUUAAUGUAUCGCAUUUUAUUAAUAUGUAAAUAGAAAGUAGGGAUCUUGUAGAAAGGGACUCCUAACCAAACUGCAUCAAGCAGUUUAUACGUAAUAAGUUUGUCUUUUCAAUCUUUGAUAUGUUUGCAUUUCACCACUUAUGGCAUGUACUCAGAAACUGAAAAGUGGCAUAAAUUGUUCACUUUGCAAUUUAGUAUGAAGCUUUUGCAAAUAAA